rnacentral:rRNA from 1 species
GACGAACGCUGGCGGCGUGCUUAACACAUGCAAGUCGAACGAAGUGGCGAACGGGUGAGUAACGCGUAAUACACCUGCCCUUCAGAGGGGGACAACAGUUGGAAACGACUGCUAAUACCGCAUACUGAAGGAGGGGAUUGCGAGUGAUUAGUUAGUUGGAGGGGUAACGGCCCACCAGGGGGAUGAUCAGUAGCCGGUCUGGGGGGAGUAACGGCCACAAUGGGAAUGAGAACAGGCCCAGACUCCUACGGGAGGCAACAGUGGGGAAACUUCCGCAAUGGAGGUAAGUCUGACGGAGCAACUCCGCGUGGGUGAUGACGGCCUUCGGGUUGUAAAGCUCUGUUAAUCGGGACGCGGUACCGGAAUAGAAAGCCACGGCUAACUACGUGCCAGCAGCCGCGGUAAUUC